rnacentral:rRNA from 1 species
GACGAACGCUGGCGGCGUGCCUAAUACAUGCAAGUCGAACGCAGUGGGGACGGGUGAGUAACACGUGGGUAACCUCCCAUCAGAGGGGAUAACACUUGGAAACAGGUGCUAAACCGAUACUGAUGGAUGGACCCGCGGUGCAUUUGCUAGUUGGUGUGGUAACGGCUCACCAAGGCCACGUGGCAUAGCCGACCUGGUGUGGGGAUCGGCCCAACUGGGAUGGCGCCACGGCCCAGACUCCUACGGGAGGCACCAUUAGGGAAUCUUCGGCAAUGGACGAAAGUCUGACCGAGCAACGCCACGUGAGUGAAGAAGGUUUUCGGAUCGUAAAACUCUUUUGUUGGAGAAGCGGUAUCUAAACAGAAAGCCACGGCUAACUACGUGCCAGCAGCCGCGGUAAUAC